CCUACGGGAGGCAGCAGUGAGGAAUAUUGGUCAAUGGGGGCGAGCCUGAACCCGCCAAGUCGCGUGAGGGAUGAAGGAUCUAUGGAUCGUAAACCUCUUUUAUAAGGGAAUAAAGUGUGGGACAUGUCCUAUUUUGUAUGUACCUUAUGAAUAAGGAUCGGCUAACUCCGUGCCAGCAGCCGCGGUAAUACGGAGGAUCCGAGCGUUAUACGGAUUUAUUGGGUUUAAAGGGUGCGUAGGCGGCUGUUUAAGUCAGUGGUGAAAGUCAUUGGCUCAAACAUAGAAGUGCAGUUGAAACUGGUGGGCUUGAGUAUGUUUGAGGCAGGCGGAAUGCGUGGUGUAGCGGGGAAAUGCUUAGAUAUCACGCAGAACCCCGAUUGCGAAGGCAGCCUGCCAAGCCAUGACUGACGCUGAUGCACGAAAGCGUGGGGAUCUAACAGGAUUAGAUACCCCAGUAGUC
rnacentral:rRNA from 1 species